AUGUUGCAAAACAUUGUUGCGAUCCAUAUUUCUCAUUGUAACAAACUGCAAUGGUUCUAUAGCGGUGACAUUAACACAUCCUUUGCAUUUCCAAAUCUGAAGGAGCUUACGUUGCAAGAGCUUGUCUGCUUUGAGAGAUGGUGGGAAAUAGAUAAUGGAACGCAAGGAGAAGUGGUGAUGUUUCCUCGGCUUGAGAAGUUGCGCAUUAGUCAGUGUGAAAAGUUGACAGCAUUGCCAGGGCAACCGACCUUCCCAAACCUCCAGAUCACUCGUAUUGAGGGAUUUCCAGAGUUGACAACUAGAGUUGAAUCACCAAAGCUCAGUGUAUUAAAGAUGGAAGGACGUGAUGUACAGUUGUUUCAGUGGGUAGCCAGGCAUAUGACUUCAUUGACCAAUGUUGAACUGCAUAGCCUUGUGGACAGUACAGAAACAACCUCGGCGGCGGCUGAGCAUGGUUUGAGGGAAGUUCUGGAUUGCAAGGAAAAAAGGAAUGAUCAUGAUUUUCCUCUGACAGUUUUGGUGCUACAAAACUUUAAGCCAGGUAUAACAGAGUUGUGUUCAUGUUUUGUACACCUGCAAGAUUUGUCAGUUUGGAGGUGCCAUGCACUCCUCCACUGGCCAGAAAAGGAGUUUGAAGGAUUGGUAUCCUUGAGGAAGCUUGUGAUUCACCAAUGUGAGAAUCUGACUGGAUAUGCACAAGCUUCUACCGAGCCAUCAACAUCGUCAGAAAAGAGUCAGCUCCUUCCACGUCUAGAGUUACUAGUGUUAAGGAAAUGUGAAAGUUUGGUUGAGGUCUUCAAUGUCCCUGCAUCUCUCAGGGUAAUGGAAAUUCUUUAUUGCAAGAAGCUUGAGUCUAUAUCUGGCAGGAGGCUGCUGCAGGGACAGUCAGCAUCGUCGAUUCAUCAAGGGCCAUCUAGUAUAGCAGAGGUGUCAUCAUCAUCCGGAGAUUGGGCGGAGAAUUUGGAAAAACUGAAAUUAGUCGAGUGUCAUGGCUUAACAGGGGCCCUCCAUCUUCCCUCGCCGCUCAAGGCUCUAGACAUUGAUAGUUGCAGUGGGUUGACAUCUCUUGAAUCUAGCUCAGGAGAGCUUCCAUUGUUGGAGUGUCCCUACCUUUGGAGUUGCAAUAACCUGUUAUCCCUACCGGAAUGGCCACAAGCAUACUCAUAUCUCCAAUGUCUCUACAUUAUGAACUGCACUGUUAUAAAGACGCUCCCUAGAAGCCUGCAGCAACGGCUGGGCAACAUCCAGGAGGAACAUGUAGAUGCUCAUUAUUACGGAAAUAAGCCAAGGCCUAUCCCUAUCCUGCUCAAACCAAAGACAUGGAAAUGCGCCAUCCGUAGAGAUUAG
rnacentral:rRNA from 1 species